rfam:Trichobilharzia regenti genome assembly, scaffold: TRE_scaffold0005327
UUAGUUAAUCUUUCAUCUCUUUGUCGUCGUUUAUUGAAGUUCAGAUUAUCUAUCUGCAAGCUGUAUCCGCCUACGCAAAGUCUGCUGUCAGUGGCUGUUGAGUCAGUCUUUGUUAUUACUUUUCCCAUGAACAUUGCUUGAGUCUUGAUGUGAUGUGCGAUCCGUCCUGAAGAUCAUAUCAGGUGAGGAGUUUGACUGGGGCGGUACAUCUGUCAAAUGUUAACGCAGGUGUCCUAUGGUGAGCUCAGUCAGGACAGAAACUUGGCGUAGAGUAAAAGGGCAAAAGCUCACUUGAUUUUGAUUUUCAGUACGAAUACAGACCGUGAAAGCGUGGCCUAUCGAUCCUUUUGAUUAUUAUUUUCAGAGUUUGAAGCAAGAGGUGUCAGAAAAGUUACCACAGGGAUAAUUGGCUUGUGGCGGCCAAGUGUUCAUAGUGACGUCCGUUUGUGAUCCUUCGAUGUAGGCUCUCCCUAUCAUUGUGAAGCUGAAUUUACCACGUGUUGGAUUGUCCACCCGGUAAUAGGGAAUGUGAGCUGGGUUUAGACAGUCGUGAGGGUGA